UCGACGAACUCUGGUAUUGAUUGGUGCUUGCAUCAUGAUUUACAUUUGAGUGAGUGGCGAACUGGUGAGUAACACGUGGGAAACCUGCCCAGAAGCGGGGGAUAACACCUGGAAACAGAUGCUAAUACCGCAUAACAACUUGGACCGCAUGGUCCGAGUUUGAAAGAUGGCUUCGGCUAUCACUUUUGGAUGGUCCCGCGGCGUAUUAGCUAGAUGGUGGGGUAACGGCUCACCAUGGCAAUGAUACGUAGCCGACCUGAGAGGGUAAUCGGCCACAUUGGGACUGAGACACGGCCCAAACUCCUACGGGAGGCAGCAGUAGGGAAUCUUCCACAAUGGACGAAAGUCUGAUGGAGCAACGCCGCGUGAGUGAAGAAGGGUUUCGGCUCGUAAAACUCUGUUGUUAAAGAAGAACAUAUCUGAGAGUAACUGUUCAGGUAUUGACGGUAUUUAACCAGAAAGCCACGGCUAACUACGUGCCAGCAGCCGCGGUAAUACGUAGGUGGCAAGCGUUGUCCGGAUUUAUUGGGCGUAAAGCGAGCGCAGGCGGUUUUUUAAGUCUGAUGUGAAAGCCUUCGGCUCAACCGAAGAAGUGCAUCGGAAACUGGGAAACUUGAGUGCAGAAGAGGACAGUGGAACUCCAUGUGUAGCGGUGAAAUGCGUAGAUAUAUGGAAGAACACCAGUGGCGAAGGCGGCUGUCUGGUCUGUAACUGACGCUGAGGCUCGAAAGUAUGGGUAGCAAACAGGAUUAGAUACCCUGGUAGUCCAUACCGUAAACGAUGAAUGCUAAGUGUUGGAGGGUUUCCGCCCUUCAGUGCUGCAGCUAACGCAUUAAGCAUUCCGCCUGGGGAGUACGGCCGCAAGGCUGAAACUCAAAGGAAUUGACGGGGGCCCGCACAAGCGGUGGAGCAUGUGGUUUAAUUCGAAGCUACGCGAAGAACCUUACCAGGUCUUGACAUACUAUGCAAAUCUAAGAGAUUAGACGUUCCCUUCGGGGACAUGGAUACAGGUGGUGCAUGGUUGUCGUCAGCUCGUGUCGUGAGAUGUUGGGUUAAGUCCCGCAACGAGCGCAACCCUUAUUAUCAGUUGCCAGCAUUAAGUUGGGCACUCUGGUGAGACUGCCGGUGACAAACCGGAGGAAGGUGGGGAUGACGUCAAAUCAUCAUGCCCCUUAUGACCUGGGCUACACACGUGCUACAAUGGAUGGUACAACGAGUUGCGAACUCGCGAGAGUAAGCUAAUCUCUUAAAGCCAUUCUCAGUUCGGAUUGUAGGCUGCAACUCGCCUACAUGAAGUCGGAAUCGCUAGUAAUCGCGGAUCAGCAUGCCGCGGUGAAUACGUUCCCGGGCCUUGUACACACCGCCCGUCACACCAUGAGAGUUUGUAACACCCAAAGUCGGUGGG
rnacentral:rRNA from 2 species